rnacentral:rRNA from 1 species
UACGAAAGGGGCUAGCGUUGUUCGGAAUUACUGGGCGUAAAGCGCGCGUAGGCGGGCUAGCAAGUGGGGGGUGAAAUCCCGGGGCUCAAACUCGGAACUGCCUCCAAAACUGCUAGCCUAGAGGAUGUGAGAGGAUAGUGGAAUUCCGAGUGGAGAGGUGAAAUUCGUAGAUAUUCGGAAGAACACCAGUGGCGAAGGCGACUGUCUGGCGCAUUUCUGACGCUGAGGGGCGAAAGCGUGGGGAGCAUACGGG